GGGGAGGGAAGUCCUCUCCUCUAUAUUUUAGGAAAAGGACAGAUGAGUUAUUGGGUGGAUACAGAGCUAGACACUCAAUUUGGUGGUGGGAGUGGAGGGGGUUAUUGUCUAGUGGAGUAGGGAAUUAGUGGAGGUAUUAAUGACCUGGGAGUUCUGUUGAGGUCUGAGAACAAUAGUGAUAGGAGGAGCUGACGCAAGCAGAAGGCCAGGGGGUGGUUGUCAGAUAAUAAGGGCUUAAAAUUGUCCUUUUGGAGAUGAAGUAGUGUAUGUAUGUGGGAGUGGCUGACUGGUGUGGAGAGGACAGGCCAUGGUGUUAAGGGGAUUAUACAUGUGACCAUGAGAGUCAUGAAAUGAUGGCAGAUUAUGGAGUAUGGAGAAAGACUGAAAGUACAGUGCCAAAGCCUUCACUGAGAGUGGGCAUAACUAGGAGUCUGCCUGUGACAAGGAUGCAUGGAAGAUCUUGAUGUUGCUGAAUGGAACAGGAGCAGGUAAGGAGGCAGAAGAAUUAUGUCUUCUAACAAGGGUCUUGGGUGGGAACCCAACCCACUCUGGGACAGGGGCAGGAGAGGCUAGAGAGAAAUGUGUGAGCCAAUAAGAGAAUUGUGUUGGCCUUUUUAUUGAUUGGCAGACAGAGAAAACCACAACUAAAUCUCUUCCAAGGUGAAGCACACAGAACUUUAUAACUUUCUUUCUUACUAUCACUGUUGGCCAGAAUAUAGUUUGUAUUUUGAAAGCCUUUACUCCUAUGUUAGGGGAAUUUUGGUCGUGAUGGCUGGACUGCUGCUAGCAGGAAAAGUACAGCAAGGGAAGGGAAGGUGCAAGUUCCUGAACGUGUAGGAUACAAAACUUAGAGAUGGAGGCUGUGUAGGCACCAAGCCUGACAGGAUGUCACACAGCAAAUGACUCUAGAAACUGUACCUCUGAUCUUGGCUACUGGUAAAGUUAGGGGAGAUGGUCUUUUUAUUUUUGUGCUGCUGGUUAGGUCAACUUACCUAUAACACUGAGUGAUAUUGUGUCACUGUGCUGGGCCACUAGGCCAUUGUUGGCCUCACAUGAGUAGUUUCCAGAAUGUUCUGCAGUCAGAGAGAGGUUGAAAGAAGCUUCUCCUCCAGAGGGGGCUGAGCUGCUCCCCAGGGUGACAUCCUCAUGAUAAAACCAGUACAGGAUUGGGGGAGAGCCUCUCGGGGCCUCACAGUGAAGCUCCAGCAGGUCCCCCACCACAGUGUGGGCCCUGGGAGCCCUGAAGGAGACCUUAGUGGCUGACAGAGAACCUAAACCCUGGCUUGCAACUCGAGGCUGUGUGAAAGGAAUCGGAACUUACUUCUCACGGUGACUCGAAUCCACGUGCUGAGGAUGGGGCUGUGAACGUUAUCAGCUGCACAGUAGUAUCUCCCUGCAUCACUCUCCUUCACGAAUGACAUUGUCUCCUUCAAAGACAGGAUGUAAAGCCUGCAGGAUCAGCCAGUCUGCAAAGAGCACAGGAGCACACUCAGG
rnacentral:lncRNA from 1 species